CAAUAGCGUAUAUUUAAGUUGUUGCAGUUAAAAGCUCGUAGUUGGAUUUCGGAUGUGAACGACCGGUCCGCCGUUGCGGUGUGCACUGGACGUUCGUAUCUUGUUGUCGGGGACGCGCUCCUGGCCUUAACUGGUCGGGACGCGGAGUCGGCGCUGUUACUUUGAAAAAUUAGAGUGUUCAAAGCAGGCAACCGCUCUGAAUACAUUAGCAUGGAAUAACGCUAUAGGACUCUGGUGCUAUUUUGUUGGUUUCGAACACCGGAGUAAUGAUUAAAAGGGGCAGUCAGGGGCACUCGUAUUCCGUCGAGAGAGGUGAAAUUCUCAGACCAAUGGAAGACGAACCACUGCGAAAGCAUUUGCCAGGGAUGUUUUCACUGAUCAAGAACGAAAGUUAGGGGAUCGAAGACGAUUAGAUACCAU
rnacentral:rRNA from 1 species